UGCCAGCCGCCGCGGUAAUACGGAGGUCCCAAGCGUUGUUCGGAUUCACUGGGCGUAAAGCGUGCGUAGGCGGAGAGAUAAGUUUGGCGUGAAAGCCCCGGGCCUAACCCGGAAAAUGCGCUGAAAACUAUUUCCCUAGAGGAUUGGAGAGGAGACUGGAAUUCCUGGUGUAGCAGUGAAAUGCGUAGAUAUCAGGAGGAACACCGGUGGCGAAGGCGAGUCUCUGGACAAUUCCUGACGCUGAGGUACGAAGGCCAGGGUAGCGAAAAGGAUUAGAUA
rnacentral:rRNA from 1 species